AGAGUUUGAUCCCGGCUCAGAAUCAACGCUGGCGGCGCGCUUAACACAUGCAAGUCGCACGAGAAAGGGAGCAAUCCUGAGUAAAGUGGCGUACGGGUGAGUAACACGUGGAUCAUCUACCUUUUAGUGGGGAAUACCUCUUGGAAACGGGAGACAAUACCGCAUAAGCUCGAAAGAGGAAAGCAGCAAUGCGCUGAAAGAGGAGUCCGCGGCUGAUUAGCUAGUUGGUGGGGUAAUGGCUCACCAAGGCGACGAUCGGUAGCCGGCCUGAGAGGGCUCACGGCCACACUGGCACUGAAACACGGGCCAGACUCCUACGGGAGGCAGCAGUGGGGAAUCUUGCACAAUGGAGGCAACUCUGAUGCAGCGACGCCGCGUGAGCGAUGAAGCCCUUCGGGGUGUAAAGCUCUUUCGACGGGGACGAUAAUGACGGUACCCGGAGAAGAAGCUGCGGCUAACUACGUGCCAGCAGCCGCGGUAAUACGUAGGCAGCGAGCGUUGUUCGGAAUUACUGGGCGUAAAGAGUGUGUAGGCGGUGCUCUAAGUUUGUUGUGAAAUCUCCCGGCUUAACUGGGAGGGUGCGGCGAAAACUGGAGUGCUCGAGUAUGGGAGAGGUAAGCGGAAUUCCUGGUGUAGCGGUGAAAUGCGUAGAUAUCAGGAGGAACACCUGUGGUGUAGACAGCUUACUGGACCAUCACUGACGCUGAGACACGAAAGCGUGGGUAGCAAACAGGAUUAGAUACCCUGGUAGUCCACGCCCUAAACGAUGCAUACUUGGUGUGAGCCAUUCAUUUGGUUCGUGCCGGAGCUAACGCGUUAAGUAUGCCGCCUGGGGAGUACGGUCGCAAGGCUGAAACUCAAAGGAAUUGACGGGGGCCCGCACAAGCGGUGGAGCAUGUGGUUCAAUUCGACGCAACGCGAAGAACCUUACCUGGGCUCGAACGGCUUUGGAUCGACGGUAGAAAUACUGUUUUCCCGCAAGGGACCGGAGUCGAGGUGCUGCAUGGCUGUCGUCAGCUCGUGUCUGAGAUGUUGGGUUAAGUCCCGCAACGAGCGCAACCCUUGUCCUGUGUUGCCAUCAUUAAGUUGGGAACUCGCAGGAGACCGCCAGCGAUAAGUUGGAGGAAGGUGGGGAUGAUGUCAAGUCAUCAUGGCCUUUAUGUCCAGGGCUACACACGUGCUACAAUGGACGGUACAAAGCGCUGCAAACCCGCGAGGGGGAGCCAAUCGCAAAAAACCGUUCUCAGUUCGGAUCGCAGGCUGCAACCCGCCUGCGUGAAGCUGGAAUCGCUAGUAAUGGCGUAUCAGAACGACGCCGUGAAUACGUUCCCGGGCCUUGUACACACCGCCCGUCACAUCACGAAAGUGGAUUGUACUGGAAGUCCUAAUCAAACAGGCCCAAGGUAUGAUUCAUGAUUGGGGUGAAGUCGAAACAAGGUA
rnacentral:rRNA from 1 species